rnacentral:lncRNA from 1 species
CAAAAAAAAAAAAAAGACAAGUUGUGCUGUGAUUUGAUGAACCCAUGAUGAUUAUAAAUAUAUGUUGUUUUGUGUAAAUAAUUUUUUUUUUUUCAGUUUUGAUAUGUUAAUGGGGUAAAUUCUAAUAUGGACCACUUCAUCAAGUGGUCCAUGGUCCAUACUUUGAAUAUUUGUUUGUAUUUUGUAAUGAUUGUUUCUCUCCUACCAUCAAAGAAAAGAAAAAUAUAUAAUUUAAGUAAUGUUUGGAUUGACUUAUUUUUGAGCUUAUGUGAAAUCGCUUAUGCAAAGUAGUUUAUCAAAAGAGUUUAUAAAGACACAAUUUUUGCAAGUGAAAACUUAUGAAUCAACAUUAAAGUUUAUCUAUUUGCAUAAGCUAAAAAAUAAGUCAAAUUCAAACAGGCCUUUAGUAUUUAAUCUAGGCCGUGCUUGGACAACAAAAAAUGUAACAUAAUAAAAUUAUGCUCC